rnacentral:rRNA from 1 species
CACGUAGGCACCAAGCGUUGUCCGGAUUUAUUGGGCGUAAAGAGCUCGUAGGCGGUCAGCACAAGUCAGUUGUGAAAUCUCCGGGCUUAACUCGGAAAGGUCAACUGAUACUGUGCGGCUAGAGUGCGGAAGGGGCAACUGGAAUUCUCGGUGUAGCGGUGAAAUGCGUAGAUAUCGAGAGGAACACCUGCGGCGAAGGCGGGUUGCUGGGCCGACACUGACGCUGAUGCGCGAAAGCCAGGGGAGCGAACAGG